rnacentral:rRNA from 1 species
UCCGUAGGGGGCAAGCGUUGUUCGGAAUUACUGGGCGUAAAGGGCUCGUAGGUGGCCAACUAAGUCAGACGUGAAAUCCCUCGGCUUAACCGGGGAACUGCGUCUGAUACUGGAUGGCUUGAGUUUGGGAGAGGGACGCGGAAUUCCAGGUGUAGCGGUGAAAUGCGUAGAUAUCUGGAGGAACACCGGUGGCGAAGGCGGCGUCCUGGACCAACACUGACACUGAGGAGCGAAAGCCAGGGGAGCAAACGGG